rnacentral:lncRNA from 1 species
UUGAUGUGCAAAAUUAUCAUUUAAUAUAAUUAUUUUUCUCUCUAUCUAGAAAAAAAAUGGAGGUUCUCCUAGUACAACUCUCAAUUUUUUCUUAGGAAAGAGCCUUUCCAAAUGUGGGCAUGUGAUCCACCUUUACGCCCAAAAGGUUGAAGCUUGAGUUAGGUGUAAGAGUUUGCCUUGGGUCUUGAAUUUUAUUUUAGUUUUUUACAUGAUAGAGUGUUUACACCUCAUCUGAACUCAUAGUGACAUUUAAGGGAUGCAUGCACAUUCAGCCAUGUGCUAAGAUUAGGGCAAAAUAAUGAUGAUUGGGCUUCAAGUGAACGCUCGAAGGAUAACCAAUUGUAAAACAGCAAAUAAAGUAUAGGGAAGCUGACCUAGUUGGC